rnacentral:piRNA from 1 species
GUGGAGCGCAGAGGACAACUUAC